CAGUAGCCGCGGGAAUACGUAGGGUGCAAGCGUUAUCCGGAAUUAUUGGGCGUAAAGAGCUCGUAGGCGGUUUGUCGCGUCUGCUGUGAAAACUGGAGGCUCAACCUCCAGCCUGCAGUGGGUACGGGCAGACUAGAGUGCGGUAGGGGAGAUUGGAAUUCCUGGUGUAGCGGUGGAAUGCGCAGAUAUCAGGAGGAACACCGAUGGCGAAGGCAGAUCUCUGGGCCAUAACUGACGCUGAGGAGCGAAAGCAUGGGGAGCGAACAGGAUUAGAUACCCCCGUAGUCCCUGUCUCUUAUAC
rnacentral:rRNA from 1 species